rnacentral:tRNA from 1 species
GCCCCCAUAGUAUAACUUGGAUAGAACAUGAGCUUGCGGAGCUUAUGAUCCGGGUUCAAAUCCCGGUGGGGGCG